rnacentral:rRNA from 1 species
CCCUUAGAUGUUCUGGGCCGCACGCGCGCUACACUGACUGACUCAACGAGUUUACAACCUGUGCCGAAAGGUAUGGGUAAUCUUUUGAAAUUCAGUCGUGAUGGGGCUAGAUUAUUGCAACUAUUAAUCUUCAACGAGGAAUGCCUAGUAAGCGCGAAUCAUCAGUUCGCGUUGAUUACGUCCCUGCCCUUUGUACACACCGCCCGUCGCUCCUACCGAUUGAAUGGUCCGGUGAAUUCUUCGGACUGCGGCUUUGACUCGAUUUCGGUCGAGGCGUUGCUGCGGGAAGUUGAUUAAACCUUACCAUUUAGAGGAAGGUGAANUCGUAACA